UACGAAGGGGCUAGCGUUGCUCGGAAUUACUGGGCGUAAAGCGCACGUAGGCGGUCUUUUAAGUCGGGGGUGAAAUCCUGGAGCUCAACUCCAGAACUGCCUUCGAUACUGGAAGACUCGAGUCCGGGAGAGGUGAGUGGAACUGCGAGUGUAGAGGUGAAAUUCGUAGAUAUUCGCAAGAACACCAGUGGCGAAGGCGGCUCACUGGCCCGGUACUGACGCUGAGGUGCGAAAGCGUGGGAGCAAACAGGG
rnacentral:rRNA from 1 species